AGCGAACGCUGGCGGCAGGCCUAACACAUGCAAGUCGAACGAACUCUUCGGAGUUAGUGGCGGACAGGUGAGUAACACGUGGGAACGUGCCUUUAGGUUCGGAAUAACUCAGGGAAACUUGUGCUAAUACCGAAUGUGCCCUUCGGGGAAAGAUUUAUCGCCUUUAGAGCGGCCCGCGUCUGAUUAGCUUGUUGGUGGGG
rnacentral:rRNA from 1 species